UUGGAAAAUGUCAGAAUUUAUUGUCUUCAGAUGCAAACAAAUAAAACCAAACGUACCAUUGGUGUCACUGCCCAGUUUAACCCAACAUGCCACUUUCCUAAACAAGAAGAAGUCAACAUUACAAAGACAAUACUUGUGUUAGGCUGACUGACAUUACAGAAGGAUGAUCUUCAAUGAAGACAAUUUACAAGUUAUGAACAGGUACAAGUCAAAAUGUAGAAUUCAUCUAAGGUUUGUAAUAAUUUUCCACAUUUGCUAGAAGAGCAUUCAUGACAUUAUUAGUGUGGUGUGAGCUUUACAACAGCAAAAAAAAAAGCUACAUUCAACAUUUUAGUUUGAGCGCAAAUGACAAAAUACUGAUGAGUGCAUAUUAUAUUAUCGUCAUGUUGGAAGAUUUCCAAGAGUAAAGUUUUUAAUUGAAUGUGUAUCAUGUCAAUAAUGUUGUUAGUGUUUUACAUAGCAAAACAAUCCAGUGACACUGUUAUGUAAGUGCCCAGACUGAAGCAGAUGAUGUAUACAGACACAGAUGUGAAAACAAACAAAUAAACAAACUAAAAUGUGUACAACCAUGAUAAUGUGCAAGUCUGCCGAAAUCCACAAAAAUGACAUUGGCUAUGGACUAAACCUCAUGUAAAAAUAUUUUUUCAAAGCAUCUGCCAAGUGUUUUCCCACAUUGUUUGACCUAUAUCACAUAUUAACACAGACAAUGGAAAUAGAACAUAUGUAUGAUGGUUCAUGCUUUGGUGGGGAACACUUAGCUGCCUCACUAUGCAUCUAUUCCACAGUUACGGCAAGACCCCCUCCCUGGUUCUUCUUGCCAAGCUGGGUGUCUCUACCCAUAUCCAACAACAAUCCAACUGCAUUCAAUGCAGUUUCUUCAUGUUGACAAUGACCAUGCGCUAAAUCUAGGAGGGAACCAGGAGCAGGGAGGUCUGCAUCUGUCCAGAGGGAUCCACUCUGUGGAAAGAGAACAAUGGAGACUUUAUUCAUGAAAGUGUCAAGAACUCAACUUGAUCAUGCCCAUUCUCUUGCCAGUAUUGGUAAACAUAUUCUUGUGAUGUGCUACAUGUGAUAAAAUGCCUGGUCCUGGUAGAAGAUGCAUAGGAACAGCCACACACUUAUGGUCUCCACCCAGAAGAUGACAAAAAGGAACCACAGUGAGGAGACUAGCAGCUCACACACCAUCCUGGGGCUUCUACAAUGAGAAAUAACAGAGAGAGGAGAGUUAAACCAUAGGGGAACAUAACACUACAGUCCUCUGCAUACCAAUAGAGAAGGUAUUGGUAGGAGCAACAUGACUACAGCUAAGGAAAGAUAACAAUAUUAAACAAUAUACAUUUUAGAUAUCGAUUGCAAACAGGGUUUGGUUUUUGGUUGAAAGCAAGGUCAUUUCAGG
rnacentral:lncRNA from 1 species